rnacentral:miRNA from 1 species
CAGUUCAGAAGUGUUCCUGAGU